rnacentral:rRNA from 1 species
AUUGAACGCUGGCGGCAGGCCUAACACAUGCAAGUCGAGCGCGCGGCGGACGGGAGAGUAAUGUCUGGGUAAUUGCCUGAUGGAGGGGGAUAACUAAUGGACACGGUAGCUAAUACCGUAUACCCUAAGCUGUGCCUAGAUGGGUUUGGCUAGUAGGGGGGGUAAUGGCUCACCUAGGCGACGAUCCCUAGCUGGUUUGAGAGGAUGAGCAGCCACACUGGAACUGAGACACGGUCCAGACUCCUACGGGAGGCAGCAGUGGGGAAUAUUGGACAAUGGGCGAAAGCCUGAUGCAGCCAUGCCGCGUGUGUGAAGAAGGCCUUCGGGUUGUAAAGCACUUUCAGCGAGGAGGCGUUACUCACAGAAGAAGCACCGGCUAACUCCGUGCCAGCAGCCGCGGUAAUUC